rnacentral:rRNA from 1 species
CCUACGGGGAGCAGCAGUGGGGGAUAUUGCACAAUGGGGGGAACCCUGAUGCAGCGACGCCGCGUGGGUGAAGAAGCGCCUCGGCGCGUAAAGCCCUGUCAGCAGGGAAGAAAAUGACGGUACCUGAAGAAGAAGCCCCGGCUAACUACGUGCCAGCAGCCGCGGUAAUACGAAGGGGGCAAGCGUUAUCCGGAUUUACUGGGUGGAAAGGGGGCGCAGACGGCGAUGCAAGCCAGGAGUGAAAGCCCGGGGCCCAACCCCGGGACUGCUCUUGGAACUGCGUGGCUGGAGUGCAGGAGGGGCAGGCGGAAUUCCUGGUGUAGCGGUGAAAUGCGUAGAUAUCAGGAGGAACACCGGUGGCGAAGGCGGCCUGCUGGACUGCAACUGACGUUGAGGCCCGAAAGCGUGGGGAGCAAACAGGAUUAGAUACCCGAGUAGUC